ACCACGCAUUAAGAGAGGACUGAUGUCCCGCCAACCUGCGUGUUCCAGCAAGGUGGUUGCCUUAAUUAGGCGAUGAGACCUAAGGGUAACCAACGGGUCAUCA
rnacentral:ncRNA from 10 species